GCCGAUUUUGGAAAACACGCGUGCACGGUGUGUACUGAAAAAUGCUUUUUAGUAACAUACAAUAAAUCCAGUCAUCAAUCACGGUAAUGUAUGCUAUAAUAUGUUUUUCGGAUAUAUACAGUAGAUGUAAAUCGCGAUAUCGACUUUGCCGGCGAUAUCAAGUUUUACGUGUCUAAUAACCGUUUGAUAUUUGUUGUGUAGUAUUUUAUUCUUUCGCAUGUAGUAAGAGCAUUUCUGGGACUAUUUAUUUUCUAAGAGAUUAAUCUGUCUUUAGCACACCAUUAAUAUCUGAAAUAUAGCCGGUAACUGGCCUUUUGAAGCUCUUCGGAUCGAAAGAAACGAAAAUUCUCACGAUGAGCGCGAUUUUACAGACUGGUGCCUAGUUUUGUACUACGCGCGCAAAGCUUCCCGGGAUAGCGUCAUUUAUUCACACCGCCAUUACGCCAAAUUUUUCAAGCCUUCAUUCUGAAUUUAUGGGUUCGAAAAAUUCGCUUUUUUAAGCAACGACGAAUGAUUUGAACGAAGAGGAAACAGCGGGCAUGACUGAAUAACAUUCAGGUAAGCAUAUUGUUAUGUUAUAUGUAUAAUGGAGCAGUUUUGAAAGUAAAUAUUCGCUAUCUUCAUUCAUGAAUUUUGAGCAUGUGUUCAUGUUUAAAAUUUGAAUUUGCCGCGACAAUAUUUGAAUUAAAAAGAUGAUAUAUUAGUUUUAUAGAAGGCUUACAUUUGACUUUAUAUUAAAUUAUGUUUAUUGUAUAAAGGGCAACUAAUAUUUGUGUAUAUGAAUAUAUGACAGACUACCAGAUAACAAUAUUUCUGGUAUAAAGUAUAAAUAUAGCUUGGCAUCUACUCAGUCAUUAUAUGCUCAACUACACAUGUCCCAGCUAAACAUGGUUUGAGAAAAUGUAACCACUUGUUUCAUAAUAAGUCCAGUAGCCCACUAUGUUAUUUAACCGAUUAAGCUGCGGAGCUUCCCCAUUGACAAGCAAAAUUGUCUGGCAUAAGACAAGUAAAAAAAUAAGUAAGGCACACUGGGGCGCAUUGCGGCUUGAUGGGUUUACCAGAGACAUUGUCAAAUUUUUUGGUCAACCCAUUAAGCUGCAGAGUUUCCCCAUUGACGAGUAAAAUCGUUUGGCGUUAGACAAGUGAAAAAAAAGUAGAGCGCACUGGGGCGCAUUGUGGCUCAAUGGGUUAAUAUAUCAGAGAACAAUAUUUAAAAACAUUGUCUUUAUAGCUUAAGUCAACGACAAAACGUCGUUAAUUAAUCAAAGUGCAUUAUUACUAUGUGUUUAUUUUCCUGUUUAUGACUGACUUGUUUAUUAUACUAACACAAAAGAUUGAAUGUCCAUGUAUAAGCUCUAUCCCUCCUAUAUACUGUAACCCCCCCCUUUGUAUAAGCCCACCAAAUAUAUAGCCCAGGGUUUAUAGUCCGAGAUUUACGGUAUUCCAUGAACCCAUUAAGAUGUGAUGUUGUGAUGGAUUAACAGACUGUGUGUGCAUGUCUCAGUUACCAUUAGCACUUACAUACCCUAAUUUAACCCAUUAAGCUGCAGAGCUUCCCCGCGUUUUCCCCGUUUCCUAGGAUACGAGGCCUCAUCACGAUUUAUGAAUAAGGUCUAUAGUACUCUGAUUUUCCAUUUAACAUACGAGCCUCUAGUCCUGGGAUAGGGUACAUUUUGAUUUACGUUGGUCAAAGUUACAGUUCGGUCGGGCAGAAAUACACUCAGGUCGGACAAACAAUAAACCUCAAUUUCACUUUGGUCGGACAGAAUGUCUGGUGGUUUCCUCUCUACGUCGGACAAUUUCACUAAUGGGUCGGACAAUGUCCAUGACCGACCGAUAUUUUAAGGCCUGCAUAGCCGGAUUAACCCUAACCCGUAGCUAAAAUUUAUGUAUUUCUACAUACAGUAUCUUUUUGUUUUAAAAUUAUGAAAAGAAAACUCCUAUGGUACUGAUCCAGACAAGAUGUCUAAAGAAAUAUUUCCAAAUUUAUAAACAAACUGUUAGGAAGUUUGCUUAAUCUAAGGUUAACUUAUCGGCUUUCGAACAAUCAACCCCUGCAUGGUGAUUUUGUUUGUCAAUGGGAGUGUGUUGGACUUAAAAGGUUUUAACCUUUCAUUGAAACUAGAUUGUCUGCCCGCAUUUUGUGUUAACACAUUAUUAAGAUAAAAGCCAGACUACUUUCAGUACUUCAUGAUUUCACUAUGUCUAACAUCAGAGGGUCACAUUUCAUAUUUAACCCUUUUAGAUGCAAAGGACAUUUUAGUCAUCCAGAGGGGGAGGGAGUCUAAGAGUAGAAUCUUCUGAGACUGAUAAUAGUAAGAUGUACUAAGACAUCAAUGGAAUGGGGUGGGGGGUUAAAUUCCAAGUUUCUUUGUAUGUCAUGCUUGAAGUUUUCAAGGAUGGAUAGAUCGGCUUAGAUAAAAAUGUCAAUUUGAUGUUUUGUGUGGCAACUUGAAUAUGGACAUCUCCCUAAUUGGAAACAGUUAAAGUCCUUAGUUUGUUUGUUUGUUCAAACUCAUGAAUACAUUUAGCUAGCUACACCACCCACAUGAUCUGCUUAGUAAUAUAUGUAACAACCCAAUUCACUCCAAUUAACCCAGUUUUCAGCACUUUCUUAAAUUAUGUCACCUUUCCUAAUGCCGGACAAGUUAAUUUGUGUGUAGCUAGAUUUUGCCCAUGUUUCAUGUUGACAUAUUUAGAUGCAAUUUUCCCUAACACUCCCUACUUUAAGUACUUUAAUAUUGAACUGUGACGUCUCAUGCUAGACAAUUUUACUUAUCGACUGCAUGGACUCAUUUCACCUAUUAACACCGAAGAAACAAUUUCCUCUUAAAUGUUGCCUACUUUCGGUUCUUUCUAGGGGUGUGCAGGACAGAGUAUUUCUGCUAUCCAGCCAGAUACAGGAUAUGCUGGAUGGCUGAAAAAUAUCCAGCCCGAUUAAGGGUAUUAUUCAAAUAAUUAUAUAAGGUUCAGGCAUCAUUUAAGGUUAAGUACUGGUAAUAAUUUUAUUUGGUUAAAAAGUAAACAGUCUAAAACUAGUAAACCUGCAUCAUUGGUAGCAAACAUGCAUCAUUGGUAGCAAAAGCCUCGUUUACAUCAGUUAAAAGUUCAAAUCCCCAUUUACUGUACAAACAAGCAUUGAAAAUACUGAUCAUAUUUAUCAUAUUUUUACUUCAAUGAUCAUGAUAUGAUAACCUUAUCAAAUCAUUUUCUAACCUGAAAAGAAGGCCUGAACCCUAUAUGAAUAAUAUCCGGCAUUGGGUAGCCGGAUACCAGAUAAUGAAUUAAAAUCUUAAUAUCCGGCCAGAUACAGUAUCAGUCCAUUGCAUCCUAUGUCUUGAAAUGCCAAACAAAUUAACUUGUUAAAUGACUGUAUAUUGAUAUUCAAUAUACUUAGCUAAUAUAUGCACCCUUUUAUUGUUAACCUUUGAGCAGCAAUGUGCCCAAGUGCACCCUACUUUGUUAUGUUGCACUUAACUAACACCAGACAUUUUACUUUGUGAAAUGCCAGACAAUUUUACUCCUCAAGAGCAGUGUCCUGCUCACUAAUGGUUAUCCAAACUAUCUGCCAAUGUGCCUUGAUAACCCAUUAGGCCGAAAUGCACCCAAAUGGACCCGCCUUUGUUAUUUUACUCUGUCAAAUGCCAGACAAUUUUAGUCAUCAAGAAGAGAGUCCUGCGUGCUAGUGGGUUAAAUGACUUAAUUACAUAUGUUAUAUAUAAACUUAAGCUGUUAGAUAGUCCCAUUGUAUAUUAAUUUUUUACUUAUCUUGACACAGGCUUGUAUGUUGGAUUGAUACGACUACCUGUAAAUAUGGUUAAACUUGGCAAUGUGAUUCAAAGGUUGUGGUUCACCGAGCGAUAAAGAAAAUGAUACAAAGAUGGAAUGAUUGGAUGCAAGUUAUUUACAGUGUUUCAUAUGACAGGUAUUCUGAUUGUGGAAGAUGUGGGCUUGCAAUAUUUUGACAAUUGCAUGGCUAUAAAGUACGAGACAAUUAAUAUAGUAGUCCAUUACUCUAAUUGCCAGAACACUGCAUCAGAAUGGGAAGUUGUCUGUUACAGUUCGGUUUAGUAAAAGUACAUAGUAAAAGUACAUAGUCAACUAUGUAAAAUGUAAUUUAGUCAGUGUCAAAUAAAUAUUUUGUCAUGGAUAAACUCAAAUGAGCAUGUCUCUAAUGUCAUUUUACUUUUAAUAAGAAUAUGUAGAUGUGUUUUCU